rnacentral:lncRNA from 1 species
GUGUGUUAGUGACCUAAUACGAUAUAUAUAUAGGGUCAGUACAUUCCAUAUGGGUUGAAAGCGACGUAUAUAUCGUAUUAGGUCACUAGCAGACCGUGUAACGAAAUUAUCUACUGACUAUCUUCACUUGUGGUAUUUUGACUAGCGGUCUUGUUUGAAGUCAAUACAAAUAACAAUAACAACUUUUUAGCUUUAAACUUGUUAUAAUUUUGUAUCAAUUUUUUUUUAUAUUUCCGCCUUUUUGCAGAGUUAUCUCCUAUAUCAAUGCAAAUCUCCAUAGGAAUCUUAAAAUCAUGAUUUUUUAGUUUUCCUCAAGUUAAAAUUGAUGCGAUUUUUCUGUGUAUUUUGGGGUAUAAUGCUAAAGAUUAAAACUUAAAAAAUCUUCUGUUGCAGGUACUUCAAGGUAAGGGUUAAAUUUAAGCUAGAUUGACAGGACUAUAGAUACAUCUUUAAGGGCCUAGUCUAUUGCAGAAAGGGUAAUUAUUAGCCCAUUACUAGAUGCAGGCUCAGUCGCCAGGUGGGGGGGGGGGGGGGGUCACCAAACAAUGAAAGAGCAUGGCCCAGAAAAGGCUAUGGCCAAAAUCAAAAUAUGAUUCCAAUGAAUACGAAAUUGAUCGUCUUUGACUGGAAAUAUCAAUUAGAAAACGUACAAUUACCUCACCAUCUUUUGAUGUGGUAGAUCCAUUCCAAGAACAUAUAAAUUCGUUACAACUGCAAAACUCGAGCGUAAGAGUUAAGAAAAGCCCAUAAGAUAACAUACAUUGUUUGGCCAAAUCCCCUAGACUUCUUAGAAAGCAGGCACGUAAUUCACAUCGGUAAUGUUAACCAAAUUCGUACGGAUGGGUUUACAAAGAAAUUGACACUUGGUCAGGUCUUCAUUGAACAAUAUGGUUAUGCCAGUAUUGAGAUAAUGAAUGGCAUGCUUCGUAAUGGGGAUUUAUUACAUGGGGAACUAUCUGUGUAACAUACAAUCUAUUUUUUGGUUAGCAGCUAACAAUGUUUGGUCUAGUGUUUUACUUGAUGACAUUGAAUACAGGGACCGCCAGGCACUUGAGAAAUUCAAAUGGGGUAUUUAUAUAUCUUAUCUAUCGGAAUUUCAUCUUGUUCAGAAACCAGACAGUACUACAGCAAACGCUUUUACAAGACAGCCAUAUCAACCAGAGUUCAAUAUGCAUGGUUCAGAAAAAGGAGCGAACUCCGGGAUAUUAGACCAACGCACAUGGACCGAAUUACUGCCAACAUAAGAUUUUAAUUACAAUUUUUUAUUGAUGGUGCAACUAAAAUGACUAAUGGUUGUAAU